ensembl:processed_transcript
GACUGUGGCCUGGUCACCUGCUAGUUGGCAUCUCUUAUCGGUCUGUCAGUCUGUCUGUCUACCUAUCUUGGGAUUGGAAGCACUUUUCUCUCUUCAAACUCCCCCACCCCAAUUCCUUGUUUUUGAAAGUUUUGAAAAAUAGGCACUCAUAUUUUUCUUCCUGGAGUUUUUCUUUUGGCUGCAACUGUUUUAGCCAAGACUGGAGCUCACAAUCCCCCCCCAUACCCCCACCCUACUAUUACUUCAAAAUAAUUUGCAUCUCUGUGGGGGGUUUUUUGCUUUGUUUUUGUUUGUUUUCGGCUGCUUCUCGCUCUUGGAGCUAAGACUUCUUUUCAGGCUCCACCUGGGCCUGGGGUUGGGGCUUGACUUCAUAUUCUACACUUUCUUUUUUGACCUGACUUGAAAGAUGUCUGACUGCCUCUCCCUAGGGACUCUAUCUAGGAGAUGGAUCCCUGGAAGAAGGGAGACACUCCGGCUUCUACUGUGAGAGUCUGGAUAAUAUCCAAAGGCACACAGCCUCUGGAAACUUAAAAUAAAAAGCUCAACAGCGCUUUCCAAAGACAGGGAAAAGGCUCAAACUGCAAGAUUAGGUCGACGUCUUUCAUAAUUAUUUUCUAUUAAAAACUUUCCCGGAAAUGUGUUCGUGACACCAGCCGGGAGCCUCUUCUUUUCUAGGGAUACUGGCCAGCUCUAGUAUUGUUAUUCUCCGCAAGGAUAUUUUCCUUCUGUGGCCUUUAGAAAAUAAUGGACGACUCGACUUUCUUGUUUUGACUAACGAAACCUCUCUUGGAGAGACUGGAGUACGCAGAUCGAACCUAGAAAUUGUACUUUCCUCAAGAUCCGCUUAAGAGAAUCUGGUUGAUGGCUUUGGUCUGAGAGUUCAGACAUCUCUUGUGCAACUAAGAAAGACCUCAUUUUCCAUUUGCUGGAUCCUCCUGGUUUGUCAUCCCUGAGUCCUGUAAGAAGCUCAUCAGGAGGUCCCCUGCGCCGGAAGGACCAUGUGAGCUCAUCCCAGAUGAUGGGUGGCACCAUGGUUUUAGCAGCUCACACAGUGGAGAACCACAUUUGCUCUGGAAGAGCUUAGCAACAUGUAUUUGAUAACACAACAAGGUCAGCUUGAGCUCUAUCCUUCUGUGGCCAUACUGAACAAAAGGAGAGACAGACAGACAGACAGACAGACAGACAGGCAGGCAGGCAGGCAAGCAGACAGAGGCAGAGACAGGCAGACAGAGACAGAGAAACAGAGAAAUGAUUCCUGAAUUAUUUUUAAAAAUUAAUUUUAAAAU